UACGUAGGGAGCGAGCGUUGUCCGGAAUCAUUGGGCGUAAAGCGCGCGUAGGCGGCCCGAUAAGUCCGCUGUAAAAAGUCAACGGCUCAACUUGUAGCGAACGGUGAUACUGUCGGGCUAGAGUACGGAAGAGGCAAGUGGAAUUCCUGGUGUAGCGGUGGAAUGCGCAGAUAUCAGGAGGAACACCCAUAGCGAAGGCAGCUUGCUGGGACGUUACUGACGCUAAGGCGCGAAAGCGUGGGGAGCGAACAGG
rnacentral:rRNA from 1 species